GAUGAACGCUAGCUACAGGCUUAACACAUGCAAGUCGAGGGACCGGCGCACGGGUGAGUAACACGUAUCCACCCUGCCCUUUACUCGGGGAUAGCCUUUCGAAAGAAAGAUUAAUACCCGAUGUAAAGGAUGGGGAUGCGUUCCAUUAGGUUGUUGGUGAGGUAACGGCUCACCAAGCCUUCGAUGGAUAGGGGUUCUGCGAGGCAGGUCCCCCACAUUGGAAAUGAGACACGGGCCAAACUCGUACGGGAGGCAGCAGUGAGGAAUAUUGGUCAAUGGGCGGUAGCCUGAACCAACCAAGUAGCGUGAAGGAUGAAGGCUUAUGGGUCGUAAACUUCUUUUAUAUAAGAAUAUGUAUUAUAUGAAUAAGGAUCGGCUAACUCCGUGCCAGCAGCCGCGGUAAUUC
rnacentral:rRNA from 1 species